rnacentral:snoRNA from 1 species
UAUAGAUCUGUGAUGUUAUUUUAAACUGCGUUAUCUAUCUGAAGCCUCGCUAGAGGAAUUGAGGAUAAUCUUAUAUGCUGAGAUCUAAG